rnacentral:rRNA from 1 species
CAGUCGCCGCGGUAAUACGAAGGGGGCUAGCGUUGCUCGGAAUGACUGGGCGUAAAGGGCGCGUAGGCGGCGGCCAAAGUCAGGCGUGAAAUUCCCGGGCUCAACCUGGGGGCUGCGUUUGAUACUUGGUUGCUUGAGUGGGGAAGAGGGUCGUGGAAUUCCCAGUGUAGAGGUGAAAUUCGUAGAUAUUGGGAAGAACACCGGUGGCGAAGGCGGCUCUCUGGUCUGUAACUGACGCUGAGGAGCGAAAGCGUGGGGAGCGAACAGGAUUAGAUACCCCAGUAGUCCCUGUCUCUUAUAC